GUGAGGAAUAUUGGGCAAUGGGCGAAAGCCUGACCCAGCCACGCCGCGUGAGUGAUGAAGGCCUUCGGGUUGUAAAGCUCUGUGGGGAGGGAAGAAAAAGCGGGAGAGUAACUGCUCUCGUGUUGACGGUACCUCCUUAGCAAGCACCGGCUAACUCUGUGCCAGCAGCCGCGGUAAUACAGAGGGUGCAAACGUUGCUCGGAAUUACUGGGCGUAAAGCGCGUGUAGGCUGACAUGCAAGUCGGGUGUGAAAUCCCAGGUCUCAACCUUGGAACUGCACUCGAAACUGCACGUCUUGAGUACUGGAGAGGGAAGCGGAAUUCCGGGUGUAGAGGUGAAAUUCGUAGAUAUCCGGAGGAACACCAGUGGCGAAGGCGGCUUCCUGGACAGUAACUGACGCUGAGACGCGAAAGCGUGGGGAGCAAACAGGAUUAGAAACCCCGGUAGUCC
rnacentral:rRNA from 1 species